rnacentral:rRNA from 1 species
UACGAAGGAUUCGAGCGUUAUCCGGAUUUAUUGGGUUUACAGGGUGCGUAGGCGGACUGAUAAGUCAGUGGUGAAAGCCUGUUGCUUAACAACAUAACUGCCAUUGAUACUGCCAGUCUUGAGUACAGUUGAGGUAGGCGGAAUGUGUCAUGUAGUGGUGAAAUACUUAGAUAUGACACAGAACACCGAUUGCGAAGGCAGCUUGCUAAACUGUAACUGACGCUGAGGCACGAAAGCAUGGGGAGCAAACAGG